rnacentral:rRNA from 1 species
UACGUAGGGUGCGAGCGUUGCCCGGAUUUAUUGGGCGUAAAGGGCGCGUAGGCGGCUCGGCACGUCCGUUGUGAAAUCGCCCGGCUCAACUGGGCGGGGUCAGCGGAUACGGUCGAGCUUGAGCAAGCUAGGGGGCAAUGGAAUUCCCGGUGUAGUGGUGGAAUGCGUAGAUAUCGGGAGGAACACCGGUGGCGAAGGCGGUUCUCUGGGCCUUACCUGACGCUGAGGAGCGAAAGCGUGGGGAGCGAACAGG